rnacentral:lncRNA from 1 species
ACUAUAUAUGAAGUCACCUAAAAAAGCUUAUGAAUUGAUAAAGGAUAUGGCUGCCAACUCAAAUGAAUGCCCUACUGAAAAACUAUUUACAAAGAAGGUAGCUGGAAUUUAUAAUAUAGAUGCUUAUACAACAUUAACAACUCAAAUGGAAGCAUUGAAUAAGAACCUACAAGGUCUGCAAUUAUAAAAAUCAGUUAUA